AUACGGAGGGUGCAAGCGUUACUCGGAAUCACUGGGCGUAAAGCGCGCGCAGGCGGUUUGAUAAGUUGGAUGUGAAAUCCUAUGGCUCAACCAUAGAACUGCAUCCAAAACUGUCAAACUAGAGUCUGGGAGAGGAAGAUGGAAUUAGUUGUGUAGGGGUAAAAUCCGUAGAGAUAACUAGGAAUACCAAAAGUGAAGGCGAUCUUCUGGAACAGUACUGACGCUGAGGCGCGAAAGCGUGGGGAGCAAACAGAAUUAGAAACCCCGGUAGUCC
rnacentral:rRNA from 1 species